rnacentral:rRNA from 1 species
AUGGAGGACCUACCGGAGGCUCUGCUGACUGAGAUUCUCAAGAGGAUCACCAGGACAAGUGAUCUCAAUUAUCUUUCCCUUGUGUCAAAGCAGCUCUACAAGAUAGAGGGGAAUCAAAGGGGUGCUGUCCGUGUUGGUUCUGGUCUUUGCACCACUACAAAAGCACUGACAUCGUUCUGCGCCCGCUUCCCAAAUCUGCGGAAAGUGGAAAUCGAUUACUCUGGUUGGAUACCUGGACAUGGAAAGCAGUUGGACAACAAAGGCCUUUCUGUGUUUUCAUCUCACUGUUCCUCGCUGAUUGACCUCACCUUAAGCUUCUGCUCAUGCAUCGAUGACUCUGGGCUUGCUUGUUUAGCUUAUUGCAAGACAUUGGUUUCUCUCAGGCUCAACUCCGCACCAAAAAUAACGUCAGUUCGGCUUUUCUCGGUUGCAGUUGGUUGCACAAGUCUAUCUGCUCUCCACCUUAUCGAUUGUGAGAAAAUCAACACUGUAGAGUGGCUGGAAUACCUUGGUAGGGAUGGAUCGUUGGAAGAGCUUGUAGUGAAGAAUUGCCAAGGAAUCAAUCAUCACGACUUCCUAAAGUUUGGUUCUGGAUGGAUGAAGCUCCAGAAGUUUGAGUUUGAGAGGAAAAGAGACAGAUUUGAUUGUCUUCCAGGUGAUGUGGUCUAUGAAUCCUCGUAUGAUGCUCACAGCAUGGAUGUAUAUGAUUUCUGCUGUGAGAGUUUGAAGGAUUUAAGGUUGGCACAUAUUAAAACUUGGCCAGAAGUAGGACUUCGUGUUCUCCUUGGGAAGUGUAAAGGAUUGGAGAAGCUUUGCCUUGAGUAUGUUCGUGCCCUAAAUGACAAUGACAUGAUUGCAUUGUCUCGGAGCUGCAGCAACCUUAAAAGCAUCUUACUUAGGCUCAACCUGCAGCGCUACUCUAGUGAUGUCAGCUAUUGUGAGACCAGGACGUCUUUUACUGAUAACAGCCUUUACGCUCUAGCCAACUGCCGUAUGCUUCAGACGGUAGACCUCAGCUUUACAGGAUGUUCCCCUGACUGGCCAUCAGAAAUAGGAUUCACACAGCAGGGUUUUCUUGUGCUCAUUCAGUCCUGCCCGAUUCGUGUUCUCGUGCUCAACAACGCCAACUUCUUUGAUGACGAGGGGAUGAAGGCCCUCUCAUCCUCACCACAUCUGGAGACACUCGAGCUUAUAUUGUGUCAUGCGGUAACUGAUGCUGGGAUGCGCUUCAUUGCGCACACGCCAUGCUUGAGUAAUCUCACACUUCGGGUGUGUCAUUACAUUACUGAUGUUGGAGUGGCUGAACUGGGGCGAGCACAUAAGUUAGAGUCUUUGGUCAUUGAGUAUUGUGGUGAGGUCUCUCCGCAAGCUGCGCAGGGUGUUGCCAAGUCAGUUCACUACACCAAGUACUCUUCAGAUGCCCUUAUGAAGAUAAUUGGUCUUGGCAUCUAUUGA